rnacentral:snRNA from 1 species
AUCGCUUCUCGGCCUUUUGGCUAAGAUCAAGUGUAAAAGAAAGCAUCAUUGUUUUACAAAUAAUUUUUUCCAACACCAUCU